rnacentral:rRNA from 1 species
AACGAACACUGGCGGCGUGGAUUAGGCAUGCAAGUCGAACGAGAACGUUCCCUUCGGGGAAUCAGUACAGUGGCGAACGGGUGAGUAACGGGUGGAAAACCUGCCCUUCAAUGGGGGAUAACAGUUCUAACGAGCUGCUAAUACCGCAUACGACCUCUUGACCGCAUGGUCAUGAGGAGAAAGGUGGCCUCUCUUUGAAGCUGCCGUUGAAGGAUGGUUCCGCCUCCCAUUAGCUUGUUGGUGGGGUAAUGGCCUACCAAGGCGACGAUGGGUAGCCGGCCUGAGAGGGUGUCCGGCCACACUGGGACUGAGAUACGGCCCAGACUCCUACGGGAGGCAGCAGUCGAGAAGCUUCCGCAAUGGGCGAAAGCCUGACGGAGCGACGCCGCGUGAACGAAGAAGGCCCUAUGGGUUGUAAAGUUCUGUCAGAUUGGGAAGAAAGCGUUGCGGUUAACACCCGUGACGUGUGACGGUACCAUCAGAGGAAGCACCGACUAACUCCGUGCCAGCAGCCGCGGUAAUACGGAGGGUGCAAGCGUUGUUCGGAUUCACUGGGUAUAAAGGGUGCGCAGGCGGCCUGUUAAGUCAGGGGUGAAAUAUGACGGCUCAACCGUCAAACUGCCCCUGAAACUGACAGGCUUGAGUCCGGGAGAGGAAGGUGGAAUUCCAGGUGUAGCGGUGAAAUGCGUAAACAUCUGGAGGAACACCAGUGGCGAAGGCGGCCUUCUGGCCCGGAACUGACGCUCAGGCACGAAAGCAUGGGGAGCGAACGGGAUUAGAUACCCCGGUAGUCCAUGCCGUAAACGAUGGGUACUAGGUGUUGGAGGAUUCUACCCCUUCAGUGCCGCAGCUAACGCAUUAAGUACCCCACCUGGGGAGUACGAUCGCAAGGUUG